rnacentral:rRNA from 1 species
GCCCUUGAGUUUGAUCCUGGCUCAGGAUGAACGCUAGCUACAGGCUUAACACAUGCAAGUCGAGGGGUAGCAGGGUAGCAAUACCGCUGACGACCGGCGCACGGGUGAGUAACACGUAUCCAACCUACCAUUCACACGGGGAUAGCCUUUCGAAAGAAAGAUUAAUACCCGAUAGUAUAGCGAUAAGGCAUCUUAUUGCUAUUAAAGAAUUUCGGUGUUUGAUGGGGAUGCGUUCCAUUAGAUUGUUGGUGAGGUAACGGCUCACCAAGUCUUCGAUGGAUAGGGGUUCUGAGAGGAAGGUCCC